AAUCUGUCAAUGAUACAUAAUCAAACCCAUUUAACCAAAGUAAACUAAUUGAAAGAAACUCAUAACAAAAUUAGGAAAUUGCACAUGGAAUUAUGCCUAAGCACUCUUUUCCACCCCAUGUAACCAAAGUAAACUAAUUGAAAGAAACUCAUAACAGAAUUAGGAAAUUGUACAUGGAAUUAUGCUUAAGCACUCUUUUCCAGCUUAGCAAGCUCUUGCCUACAACUGAUGCCCUCUGCACAAAUUGAAACCAAAAGUUAUAUGUCAACACAGUAGUAGAGACACUUGGAUUUUGCUAUGCAUAAAAUCCAUUUCACAAACUAUUUGAAAAGCAAUACCAAAAUCAAAAGAGUGAGAAUAGCUAGAAGGAAACCAGCCUUGAUCUUUGCCAACAUAAUCUCUCUUCCCCUAACCGGGUGGAAACACUAGUACGGGUAGGUUUUUAAAUCGACCACCAUCAUCAUGGUCUUUGUAUUUGUACUUGGGGUAACUAAAUAAGCUUGGAAGUAAUGAUGUUUUAAACUUUAUCAGUAAAUUUUGUCUCCUUUUUCUCACAAACCUACACAAUAUAAUAGAUAGUUAUUGAUCGAUGAUAUAAAGAAUUAUAAAAAUAAUAUAACAUAAGAUGUAUCAAACUUGAAUUAUCUUCUUGAAUUGUCUUCAUGUACGGCUGACUGUCUCAAUGUGUAUAUUAUACAUGACCGAAUAUAUUGAGGAGAUAUACCUCCUGCAAAACAUACUUCAUGUUGAGAAGUAUAUCGAGAAUUAAGGGUACUGUUAAC
rnacentral:lncRNA from 1 species